rnacentral:rRNA from 1 species
AGAUUGAACGCUGGCGGCAGGCCUAACACAUGCAAGUCGAGCGGCAGCACGGGUACUUGUACCUGGUGGCGAGCGGCGGACGGGUGAGUAAUGCCUAGGAAUCUGCCUGGUAGUGGGGGGAUAACGCUCGGAAACGGACGCUAAUACCGCAUACGUCCUACGGGAGAAAGCAGGGGACCUUGGGCCCCCUUGCGCUAUCAGAUGAGCCUAGGUCGGAUUAGCUAGUUGGUGAGGUAAUGGCUCACCAAGGCGACGAUCCGUAACUGGUCUGAGAGGAUGAUCAGUCACACUGGAACUGAGACACGGUCCAGACUCCGUACGGGAGGCAGCAGUGGGAAUAUUGGACAAUGGGACGAAAGCCUGAUCCGAGCCAUCGGCCGCGUGGUGUAGAACGUAAGGUCUUCGGAUUGUAAAGCUAAGUUUAGUGGGAGGAGGCAUUAACCGUAAUACGUAUCGUUAGUUUCGACGUUACCGAAUAGAACUAAGGACCACCGG